rnacentral:rRNA from 1 species
GCCUGGUGGCGAGUGGCGAACGGGUGAGUAAUACAUCGGAACGUACCCAGAAGUGGGGGAUAACGUAGCGAAAGUUACGCUUAAUACCGCAUACGUUCUACGGAAGAAAGUGGGGGAUCGCAAGACCUCAUGCUUUUGGAGCGGCCGAUGUCUGAUUAGCUAGUUGGUGAGGUAAAGGCUCACCAAGGCGACGAUCAGUAGCUGGUCUAGAGAGGACGCCAAGCCACACUGGAACUAAGACACGGUCCAGACUCCUACGGGAGGCAGCAGUGGGGAAUUUUGGACAAUGGGCGCAAGCCUGAUCCAGCAAUGCCGCGUGAGUGAAGAAGGCCUUCGGGUUGUAGAGCUCUUUUGUGAGGGAAGCAACGGCAGUGGCUAAUAUCCUUUGCUAAGACGG